ACUUAAAAUGAAUUACUUAUAAAUAUUUUAGUUUAAAUUUGAAUACUUUUUAUUCUCACAAAUAGAAAAGAACCAGCUAAGGGGCUAAAUUUGUCUAGUUUCAAUAGAUGGAUGGACUCCGUUAUUCGAUUUCGUGGAUGAAGGUUAAAAAUAGGAUUUUUGAGAAGUUUGAAAGUAUAAACCAAACUUUUCCAUUUUCCUUUUGAAAGUUCGUUAAAUCGAGUUACCAUUGCGCUCCCACCGCAUCGCUCUCUGCCGGCGUUGCGUUUGUGUACCGCAGGCUCCUCCUCCCCCUGCGCCGGCGCCGCCGCCCCGGUUUCGUCGCCCUAAACGCCGUCGCCUUCCCCUUCCAGGCGCGUUCACAAUUUCCACUACGGACUCCCUCACUUCCUCUCCUGGGCGGAGUGGCGAGAGGUCAAUUUCUCGCUUCGUUCUAAUUUCCAGCCCCGUUUCGAUACGGGCAUCCGGCAGUAGCUUGUGGUCCAUGUCGGGGCCAUCAGAUCGGCGACCUCCGUCGCCUCUUCACUCUCGGCGGGUGCGGGCCGGGGCUGAGGGCCCCGGGAGCUGCCAGCCUGCCAUGGAUGCCACGCGUUAUCUGAUUUCUGAGUGAUAACCCAGAUUCGACCUUGAGACUCAUUAAAGAUCGGAUGAUAUGUGAACAAACGCCAAGCACACACACAUGAGCGGUACUCCUGAAAUCUGGAGCUGACAGGUGAUGUGAUAAUUACUGACAUGAUGCCUGAUGGUGCAAUCAAGGGGUAUAUUCGUGAUGCUGCUUUGAUGGAUGGAAGGGAUACAACAAGAAAGCAUGUGACAUGCUAGCAUGAUUUGUGUAUGUGACACAACUUUAGGUCAUGUUUGAUCUGAAGGAGCAGAAGAAGCUAAUAUCACACGUUGCUGGAAAGAUUUGGUAAGUGGUGGAACAAGAAACUAAUUAUGUUGCUCAAACAAAUUUGUUCCAGCAUGUAUCUUCUGUGUUCUGUCUAUAAUAGCUGGGAACCAACUUUUGCUGGUUUCACUUACUAAGAGGACAUCUAUUUGCUGAAUUAGGAUCACAUGCUGAAUAAGAGUGGAUCGCUAAUGCAUAGGAAUGAAA